rnacentral:rRNA from 1 species
UGAAGCGGCAACAGCUCAAAUUUGAAAGCUGGCCUUCGGGUCCGCAUUGUAAUUUGUAGAGGAUGCUUUGGGGCAGCCGCCUGUCUAAGUUCCUUGGAACAGGACGUCAUAGAGGGUGAGAAUCCCGUAUGUGACAGGACAUGGCACCCUAUGUAAAGCUCCUUCGACGAGUCGAGUUGUUUGGGAAUGCAGCUCUAAAUGGGAGGUAAAUUUCUUCUAAAGCUAAAUACCGGCGAGAGACCGAUAGCGCACAAGUAGAGUGAUCGAAAGAUGAAAAGCACUUUGGAAAGAGAGUUAAAAAGCACGUGAAAUUGUUGAAAGGGAAGCGCUUGCAAUCAGACUUGUUUUGACUGUUCGGCCGGUCUUCUGACCGGUUUACUCAGUCUGGACAGGCCAGCAUCAGUUUUGGCGGCCGGAUAAAGGCCCAGGGAAUGUGGCUCUCACUUCGGUGGGAGUGUUAUAGCCCUGGGUGUAAUACGGCCAGCCGGGACUGAGGUCCGCGCUUCGGCUAGGAUGCUGGCGUAAUGGUUGUAAGCGACCCGUCUUGAA